UCUAUUUGGGCUGUAAUAUUUGUGAUACCGUAGUCUUACUAAUACGCGACGUUACAAACUAAUGGCGGUUUUCGCCAUUCAAGAAGUGUAGAAAUCCGGACCAGCUUUUGGCCCUAGGGUGUCGCCAUCGGUUUGUCAGUGCAAGUUUAUGUGGAGCCAUGUGCGCCGGGUGCAAGUGCUGUGCCUUGCACUGAUGGCAACGAAGGAACAUGUCAGCCUCGUAUGGCGUGUGCGCACAGAGUCGCAAACGAAGUGCAUUUCAGCUUUGCUUGCAUGGCUGCUGCUGGUGCAGUUCUCCGCUAUCGGGGCCCUGGGGCGGUGGGCCGCGACGACCGCCAUUCAUAUUGUAACGGAGAAAUGUGGACCAUACUUUCGGAUAUUUUGGUCGCCAUUCGCUUUUAAACCGAAGAAAUGUCAGACCCCUCUCGGCCAGGCCCGUCACAGUUUGUAACGUCGCGUAUAAGUAAGACUACGGUAAUCACGGUUUGUUAGGAAUGCUAGAAUGCAGACGCGAAUGUGUGC
rnacentral:lncRNA from 1 species